UAUAAGACGAGAAGACCCCAUGGAGCUUUAAACCUGACUACACCCCUAUCUAUUAUACCCUUAAAUCAACAGGGCCUUUGUCUGUCGGUUUUAGGUUGGGGUGACCGCGGAGCAUAAAUUAACCUCCAAGAUGAACUGGACUAACCCAUUAUCUAAGAUUUACACCUCAAAGAAUCAGCACACUGACAUAAAAUGAUCCGACAUUCGAUCAACGAACCAAGUUACCCUGGGGAUAACAGCGCAAUCUACUUCAAGAGCCCCUAU
rnacentral:rRNA from 1 species